UCGCGUAAAUGAUCAUUGGUUUCGUUACGUUAUAUUGCUGAACAAUGCAUGACUGUUCUUCGCGUACGUUCCCGACGUUUUUUUUCAUGGGGCCCCAUGCGCGUUUGCGUCGACGAAAGGCACAUUACUUUUAUUUUCUAAUUAAAUUUGCCCCUUGAGCGCGAAGCAUGAAGAUUAAAUAAUUGGUAAAGUAUGAAUCACAAUUGACUUUAUCACGUACAUAAGCUUUAUCUAGAAACAUCGAUGAUGUGACAUCACGAAGUGGUGAUGACGCCACAUAGAAGAAUCUUAUUUAAACAUGGUACGUGACGCCAUUGGAUCACGCGGGCUGUGGAACAAAUAAAAAAUGAAGAAGAGUCAGCGAAUUAUGUUUCAGAAGAAAAGUGCAAGCAAGGGCUUUCUUACAAGAGUAGACACCCACUAUACCAGCAUUGGCUGGGGGCUUUUCGUCCCGUAUUGGCUUUCCACCAACGCCAG